GCUCAAUAAACAAGCUUCACCCUUUCCAUUUCUCAAACAAUCGUUUUGAAUUCUUCAUUCUUCAUUCAGAGAGAACAACUAUCUACCCAAAUCAAUCAAAUUGAAAUUUUCUAAUGGCGAGUCUGAGUUAAGGUGUGAUCAAUCUCCUUAGACCGAUCAACUCUAACAAAGGCACCAUCGCUUCUUCCACAAAACCCCAAUUUCAGGUUAUUAUAUAGAAGCAAACAAUGAGCGUAUCUGGAACUCGAUUUGGUUCUUGGCAAAUGGGUAGAGGAUAACAUCCACUCACUUGAUCAAAAUCGAAUUGAAGCCGUCAUUCAUGUCUUCGACUUGGUAAUAAUUUAUCUAUCUUCAUCUCUGUAUUAUACAAUUUGUACAUUACUUGGAUUCUUUGUAUGUUCUAAUAUACUAACCCAUAUGCUAUCAAUAUUCAAUAUUCCCUCCACUCCUUUUUAUAAGAGUCCCUCAAUAUCAUAACAUCGUAGCUCACCUUGUAUACUUGUUUCUUUUCAUAAUUUCUUUCACUCCCCCAAACAUCGUAAAUAUUUUCUCCUAAAAUCCUCCCGUUUGUGUGUCUUCACCAUCAAGAAACUUAACCAAUAUAUAAAUUUGUUUUGUUGUCUUAUUUGCACUUUCAAUUUCCUUUCAAAGAUUUACAAAACCAAUUGUUUCAGUAAUUAAAGCCCAUAUUAUUGUCUGUUUUCAUCUACUUGGUUAAUCAAUAUUUUUUUUUUUAAAUAUUCAACAAAAUAUUAAUUACAAGAACUACCAGAUACACGAGAGGACGUCAAGUAAAAUAUAAUGAGUGACAAAGCCUAAUUUUGCAACUCAUUACAUUUUACAUAGCAUCUUUUUGUGUAUCUGGAAGUUCUUGCAAUUAUGUUGCGUUGAAUAUUUCCUCCGUCUCAUAAUAUAAAUAAAAAUUAGUCAAAGAAAGUUGAUGUAUUUAGUCCAAAUUUUGAGCUAUAUACAUAAAGUUUUUUUGACCAAUUUUUGUUUGUAUUUUGAGAACGAGGUAGUACUUGGAAAGAAUGUGUCAAUCAAGGGGUGAAAUCACAAGAAAAAUAGGGAUUUUAAUUGUUGAAACAUUUGAUUGUGAUAAUUUGUUAAAGGAAACUGAAAAUGUAAUUAAGAAAAAAAUAAAUUUAUUUGUUGAUUAAGUUUUCUGAAAUUAUAACCAAUUCUUCGUAAGUACUCGACAAAAGAUUAAUUACAAGAACUUCUCAAUAUAAGAGAAAACGCCCAAGUAAAAUAUAAUGAGCAACAAAGACUAAAUUUGCUACUCAUUACAUUUUACAUUAGCAUUUUUGUUGUGUAUAUGGAAGUUCUUGUAAUUAUGUUGCGUUGAAUACUUCCUUUGUCUCAGAAUAUAAAUAAAAAUGACUCAAAAAAAGUUGAUGUAUUUGGUCCAAAUUUUAAGCUAAAUACAUUAACUUUUUUGAAACAAUGAUAAUUUGUUAAAGGAAACUGAAAAUUUAAUUAAGAAAAAAAUAAAUUUAUUUGUUAAGUUUUUUGAAAUUGUAACCAAUUAUGUGUAAGUACUCGACAAAACAUUAAUUACAAGAACUUCGAGAAGAAACCUAAGUAAAAUAUAAUGAGGACAAAGACUAAAUUUGCUACUCAUUACAUUUUACAUUAGCAUCUUCUUGUGUAUCGAGAAGUUCUUGUAAGUAUGUUGUGUUGAAUACUUCCUCUGUCUAAUGAUAUAAAUAAAAAUUAGUUAAAGAAAGUUGAUGUAUUUGGUCCAAAUUUUGAAUUAAAUACAUUAACUUUGUUGGACCAAUUUUUGUUUGUAUUUUGCAAACGAGUGAGUAGUUGGAAAGAAUGUGUCAAUCAACGAGGUGGAAACACAAGAAAAAUAGGGAUUUUAAUUGUUGAAACAUUUUAUGGUGAAUAUUUUUUAAAGGAAUCCGAAAAUGUAAUUAAGAAAAAAAAAUUGUUGAUUAUGUUUUCUAAAAUUGUAACCAAUUCUAAGUACUCAACAAAAUAUUAAUUAUAAGAACUUCUCUAUAGAGGAGAAGACGUCGUCCAAGUAAAAUAUAAUGAGUGACAAAUAUUGAAUUUGCUACUCAUUACAUUUUACAUUAGCAUCUUCUGGUGUAUCCGGAAGUUCUUGUAAUUAUGUUGUGUUGAAUAUUUACUCUGUCCUAAAAUAUAAAUAAAAAUGAGUCAAAGAAAAUUGAUGUAUUUAAUUCAAAUUUUGAGUUAAAUACAUUAAUUUUCCUUAAUCAAUUUUUGUUUGUAUUUUGGGACCAAAUAAGUACUUGACAAUGAAAAUUAUUUUAAGAACGCUUAAAAUGUUAUUAAUAUAAAUACAAUAACUUUAUUUGUUGAUUAAGUUUUCGGAAAAUGUAAUAAAUUCUUUUUUAAGUGUUCAACAAAGCAUUAAUUAUAAGAAUUUCUCGGGUCCAUCUAAAAUAUAAUAAUUGACAAAGACUAAGUUUGCCAUUCAUUACAUUUUAUAUUAACAUUUCUUUUACAUUUGAAAGUUUUGUAAUUAUGUUGUGUUGAAUACUUCCCUUGUCUCAAAAUAUAAAUAUAAAUGAGUCUAAAAAAGUUGAUAUAUUUAGUUUAAAUUUUGAAUUAAAUACAUUAAUUUUCUUGGAUCAAAUUUUGUUUGUAUUUUGUAGUCGGAGGAGUACUUGGAAAGAAGGGUGAAAACACAAGAAAAACAUGGGUUUUAAAUAAUUGUUGAAUCAUUUUACAUUGAGAAUUUUUUAAAUGAAGUUUAAAAUGUAAUUAAUAUAAAAAAAUAAAUUUAUUUGUUGAUUAAGGUUUUUGAAAAUGUAACAAAUUCUUUUUAAGUAUUCAACAAAAUAUUAAUUAUAAGAAUUUUACGAUACACGAAAAGACGUCCAAGUAAAAUAUAACGAGUGAUAAAGAUUAAGUUUGCCACUCAUUAGAUCUUACAUUAGCAUCUUUUUUAAUAUGUGAAACUUCUUAUAAUUAUGUUGCAUUCAAUACUUCCUUUGUCCCAAAAUAUAAAUAAAAAUAAGUUAAAAAUAGUUGACGUAUUUGAUCCAAAAUUUGAGUUAAAUAUAUCGACUUUCUUUAAAUAGUUUUUGCUUGUAUUUAGGAACAGAAGAAGUACAUGGAAAGAAUGUGUUAAUCAAAGAGUUGAAAACACAAGAAAAUUUAGGCUUUAUUUAUUAAAACACAUGACAGUGAUAAUUUUUUAAAGGAAGCUUAAAAUGUAAUUAAUAUAAAUAAAUAAAUUUAUUUGUUGAUUAAGUUUGCACUUAGCGAAGACUAACAAAUAUAGGAAUUUUUGUGAGAAAAUGUAUAUGAUGUUUGGGGAAGUGUAAGAAAUUAUGGAAAGAAAAAAAAAACUAAUAUGCAAAUUGUUAGGAAAAUAUUUUAAGAGCAUAAAGGACCAAAAUGAACCAUACUAUUAAUUGGCUUGGUUUCGCAAUGACCCCACAAUUUUACGAUAAUGGCAUCCUGCAACACUAGCUCCAAGAGAUAUAGCUAGAAAGCCAUUAGUCAGGAUAAAGAAGUGGUCUCAACACUAAUGCAAGCUGAAAAAGUAUCUAAAAUUGUAGAGGGACUUAAGCUAUUAUGCGAUCUGUUUUCCAUGCUUCACAAAAAAAAGAUAUAUAUAUAUAUAUAUAUAUAUGUAAUGCAUGCUACUCAAUUGGAUGUGCUAACCAUGGAUGCUCCUCUGUUGAGCAAUAAGUAGCUCUUCUGUUGAAAGUGUUUGGAGUACUUAUUCUUUUAUUCUUAUAUUCGUAAUUUAAAGAGGACUAUGCUUCAUUGUGUAAGAGUAGACAAGUUUAUCCAAUGUCGAUUUUCUAAUAGCUAUAACCAUGACCCGCUCAAAAAUGGGAUAUGGAAGAAUGUUCUACAAUGUAUGAGCUUGGUUAAAGAAAACGAAAUCAGAGGAUUAUCAAAUAAUUGCAAUGUGGAGAGCUCUUGUCAAGAGAGGAAAAAGACAUCAAAAUUGAGGUUUUAUUUUUUUUGUUCGCAAAUUAUGUUAAAAUUGAAUUAUGUUUAGACUCUUACUUUUGUCUUUAAAUUCUUAGGUUAAUUUUUAUAGAUGAUAUUAUAUGUUUUUUAUAAUGUACUUUAUUGUAUCUAACUAAUUUAUUUAUUUUAUUGAUUA